rnacentral:lncRNA from 1 species
CAGUUUUAUAUAGUGUACAUGCAUGAGAAAUUGAAGCAGAAAACCCGACACUGACCAAAGUUUUUCAGUAAUAAAGAUUAGCCAAAUUCAGCUAAAGAGAAAAUCUUGGUCAGUCAUGUAGGUGAGAUCCUGAUUCAAGAGUAGAAAGGUUGCCGUCCUUCAGUUUUGUGUGGGGUCAUAUUGAUUUGCGUAAAAUAAGCCUUCACUGCCCUGUUCAGCUGCAAGCAUAAACGAACAAACCAUGAUAUUGCAAAAACAUCUAAAUAUAGUAUAUAGAUAAUCACUAAGUAACUACAUUUUUUUUGCGGGGACUAAGUAACUACGUUAGGGAUGUAUCUCACCAUACAUUGCAUAGUGUUAAGCUCUGCAGAAAAAAUAAAUAUGUAUCAAGAAGCUGACAUCAAUGCCUACCUCUAUGGGGUGGGAUUACCGGCGGUCCGAAGGUUGAAGAGAAAUCAAGAGCGUCCGGAAGAGCGAUCUCAGAUGCUACGGGAAAGAGGAUUAGAGGGAUUAUAAAAAUCAAAUAAAAAUAGAACGAACCAAUCUUGAUUAUGCAAUGUUCAACGCUUUAUUAUUUGGAAGUAGUCAAAAAGGGUAAAAUCCACCGCUUAGUUGUAGUGAGUAUAUAUAGCUAUAGUAGAAGGGCACCUCAGUGGUCAGCGGCGAGUGGUGGCCUGGGUCUCGGCAAGCCGGCCGCCAUGGCGUCAAAUAGGAGUAGCGCCGUUUUGGUGUUUCUGUUGUGGGUUGCUAGCGGUUGUGCGACGGCCCUCGCCUGCAUGGAUGACCGGAGGAGGUAGGCGCUGCGUAUGUGGACACACGGAGACGCUGUGGCUGGAACAGACUGCCGGUGGGCGGAGCAUUAGAACCUUUGGCGUGGACUGCCGAUGGAGGAGCGAGCCUUCAUGAUAGGGAAGAAAAGAGGUGCAAGCAAAAUUUGGUGGGG